rnacentral:rRNA from 1 species
CCUACGGGUGGCUGCAGUGGGGAAUAUUGGACAAUGGGGGCAACCCUGAUCCAGCGACGCCGCGUGUGUGAAGAAGGCCUGCGGGUUGUAAAGCACUUUUAGUGGGGAGGAAGGUCUGCGACCUAACACGUCGUGGAAUUGACUUAACCCACAGAAAAAGCACCGGCCAACUCUGUGCCAGCAGCCGCGGUAAUACAGAGGGUGCAAGCGUUAAUCGGAAUUACUGGGGGUAAAUUCGUAGUUGGCGUGUGAAAGCCCCGGGCUCAACCUGGGAAUUGCAUUCGAGACUGCGAAGCUGGAGUGCGGAAGAGGGAAGUGGAAUUUCCGGUGUAGCGGUGAAAUGCGUAGAUAUCGGAAGGAACAUCAGUGGCGAAAGCGACUUCCUGGUCCAGCACUGACGCUCAGGCACGAAAGCGUGGGGAGCAAACAGGAUUAGAUACCCCGGUAAUC